rnacentral:rRNA from 1 species
CCUACGGGAGGCUGCAGUAGGGAAUCUUCCACAAUGGGCGAAAGCCUGAUGGAGCAACGCCGCGUGGGUGAAGAAGGUCUUCGGAUCGUAAAACCCUGUUGUUAGAGAAGAAAGUGCGUGAGAGUAACUGUUCACGUUUCGACGGUAUCUAACCAGAAAGCCACGGCUAACUACGUGCCAGCAGCCGCGGUAAUACGUAGGUGGCAAGCGUUAUCCGGAUUUAUUGGGCGUAAAGGGAACGCGGGCGGUCUUUUAAGUCUGAUGUGAAAGCCUUCGGCUUAACCGGAGUAGUGCAUUGGAAACUGGGAGACUUGAGUGGAGAAGAGGAGAGUGGAACUCCAUGUGUAGCGGUGAAAUGCGUAGAUAUAUGGCAGAACACCAGUGGCGAAAGCGGCUUUCUGGUCUGUAACUGACGCUGAGGUUCGAAAGCGUGGGUAGCAAACAGGAUUAGAUACCCUUGUAGUC